rnacentral:lncRNA from 1 species
GGAAAUUUUUAUAUAAGAAAAAAAUUUCCAGACUUUUCUCAUUUCUCCCAACGGUUUCCUCACUUCUCCAAACUCUCCCAAACUUCUCCCAAGGUUUCGAAAGUUCUCCCCAAGGGCGUUUGAUUGAGCACUCCGGCCAUUCCUCCCCAAGGUAAUAAUCUCCCCUUCUUGAUCUUCAUCUUCAUGUUCUACUUCUUCAUCUUCUCCUUAUCUUAUCUUAUUAUAUUUUAUAUUAUCUUUUUCUAUUCUUCUACAUUUUCUAUUUUGUUCUUCAUUUGAUGUAUGUUAUUUGAUUAAAUUAGGGGGUUAUGGUUGUAUGACAUUGGGGUUCAUGUAUUUGUGGGUUUAUGACAUUUAGGGUUUAUGUAUUUAUUAUUUGGGGGCUUAUAUAUGUAUUUGAGGGUUUGAUUUUAUGGUUAGAUGUUAGGUUGAUUUAUUGUAGUUAGAUUUUAGGGUUUGAUUUAGGUUUGAUUUAUUGAUGUUAGGUUUAUUAUUUGUUGGUUUUUAUUUAGUUUAUUUACUGAUGUUAUUUAGGGGGGUUUAUUUACUGUUUUUAGUUUAUUUUUAUUAUUUACUGAUUUUAGUUAAUUUAGAUUAGGGUUUUACUGUUUUUAUAAAUUAUAUUAAUUUUGUCUUUUGAUUUGUGAUUUGGGGGUUUAUGAUUUUAAAUCAUACUUUCCAAUGAUUUGUCUUUUGAUUUUAAAAAAAAAAUCAUGCAUUGUGAAUUUGUGAUGGGAAUUUGUGAUGUGGGGUUAGUAAUUGUGAUUUACUCUUUUUAGGGGUUUUGAUAUUGGGGGUUUUAUUUAGGGGUUUUGAUAUUGGUGCUUUGAUUUAGUUUUGUUUAUUUUAGUUAAUUAUAGUUAGUUAAUUAAUUGACUUAUGUACUAUUUUGAUUAUAUUUGAUUUAGUUAGUUAGUUAAUUAUAUUUGAUUUAGUUAAUUGACUUUAUUUGUAAUAUAUGUACUGUUUUGAUUUUAAUUGUGAUUUUAAUAUAUUUAGUUGUGAUUUUAGGGUGUCGUACUCUAUGUGGAAAGAUUUUUUUUUUUGCAAUCUAUGUAAUGGCUAGAAUCCGACUUAAAUGAAUGUAGUUUUGAUGAUGAUGAAUGUAGACAGAGUAUUUUUUGGUUUUAGUUUGAUUAGGAUUUUUGGUUUUAUUUCAUUAGGAUUUUAAUCACUGAAUGUAGAUUUUAGUUUUUCUUUGAUUAGGAUUUAUGGUUGAUUAGGAUUUAAAAUGAUGUUUUGAUAUGUGCUUGAAAUUAGUAUGUGGAACAGAGGUGGGAUAUAUUUCGAUAUGUGAUUGAAAUUCCUUUUUAAUUUGUAGACAGAAUUAGGUAUUGAAAUUCCUUUUAAAGUUGUGCAUGUUUUAAUGGAAUUGACGUGAUAUUUGUGCAUGUUUUUAUGUAUGUAAUGGUUGCAAUCAGGAUGUAGUUUUUUUGUUUAGCAAAUCAAUUCCAUUAUAAUAUUAAUGUUAUGACAGCAUGUAAAAUCAAGUGUGGUACAUUGUUUUGAUGUAAAAAUGAAAAUGAAGUUGAUUUUAAUUUUCGUAUUCAUGCAAAUCGAUGUGGGACAAAAUGUAGGAUUUGCUUUGAAUAGGUAAGAGCAACAAAAUGAAGUUUUUUUGCUUUGAAUUGGAAUUUAUUUUUGCUUUGAAUAGGAUUUUUGGUUGAUUGGGAUUUAAAAUGAUGUUUGUAAAUGUUUUUUUGAUAUGUGAGGUAUGGAAAAAUGAAAUCAAGUUGUGCAUAUUUGGUUAAAUUAACGUGAUUUUUCUUUGAUGCUUCUAUAUAACUUGUAUUUACCAUUCUUAUUGUUCUGUACACUACACUAUGGUCUUCAAUAAUACGAUCCAAUUUUGGAAUUCCGAAAGUACAGCAGUUAUGCAUAGCACAUGAUCUGCCUGCCAAAAUGAUAUAUAGUUAAAUUUUGGAAUUCUGUUUCAUUUUAAUAUGAUAUAUGUACUGUUUGUAGUAUUUAUUGGUGUUUAUGUAGUGUUAAUUUAGUGACAUUUAAUUUCUAUGUUAAAUUUAUUUUAGGUUGAAGCCUUCUUCUAAUCCGGCCGGCCACUUCUCUCCGGUCAUUGUCGAAAUUAUCUUCAAGGUAUGGUUUACAUUAUGUUCAUCUUCUUCUCUUCUUUUUUAGUUGUUUUUAAUUUGGGGGUUUAUGAUUUGGGGGUUUAUGAUUUUGGGGUUUAUGAUUUGGUGGUUUUUUAUUUGGGGGUUACUUUCCAAUUUAUUGUAGUUAUUGUAGUUUUUUCCUUCUAAUUUAGGGUUUAUGAAAUUGGGGGUUUAUAAUUGGGGCUUAAAAUAAGUUAUUGGGGGUUAUGAAUUUUUGGGGGUUUACUGAAUUUGUUACUGAAAAUAAGUUACUUAAUUAUUAAACUUCAAAUUCAAUUUCAAUUUCAAUAUCAA